rnacentral:lncRNA from 1 species
UUAAUACUGUGAUUUCCACUGUUGUUCUGUUUUUCCUUGCAUUUUCCUGAUAAUGCCUUUACUGAUCCGUUUGCUGUGAACCUUAUGUAAUUUCAGUGUGUCAGGUGGGUUCUGUGUUACCAGCUUCUAAUUACAGAUUGCCUUGGCAUCCAAUCUAAGUUUCUGUCAACAGUAAAGUUUCACCCAUUUGCAUGGAAAAAUGUAAAGUUAAUAAAGUAAUUAAAAAGCAAUUUAUACAUUUAUUAUUGUCUGAUUAAAGAAAAAAUACAUGAACCCUUCAAAAAUCUGAAAUCACAUAUCCCAGGAUGGUAAUUGGAGCACAUUUCUCUGUGGUUGGAUAAUACAUGACUUUUUUUUUCAUUUAUUAUCUGGGAUUUUAGAAGCAAUGAGAACAGUUUUUCAAUGAGUCUGUGAUUGAACAUAAUUACUGGUUCAGCAGACUUAAAGAAAAUUGAACUUUAAGUAUCUUCCAGCCUUAACUGGAAGUAAACCCUCCCUUCAUUACAGAUACAUUCCUGUAAAGAGUCAGUCUUCUCUUCUGUGAAAUGGGAUAAAUAAUUUCUGCCUUAGAGGGCUGCCGAAUGGAAUACAUGAGGUGUGGAACUGUUGGCCUGCCUCCUAUGCAACUCCCCAGCAUUUAACAGGACCCUGGCUCUCAUCAGAUCCUUGGGCAGUACUAAGGGGAAUUUUCACCCAGGCUCACAGCAGGAAAAAUAGCAAACUUGACUGUCUAUUGAAGAAACUUAAAAAGGGUCACCUUUGUGACCAGAGCCAGCAUUGCACUUUGAACACCACUGAGCAGGAAACCUGAGACAGAGAAAUAGGGUUAAUCUUAAUGGUGGAACAUAUUUUGACCUGCUGAGAUUGAGGUAAGUUUGAGACAUUCAGGAGAGUUCCAUUAAAGUUCAGACAAAAAUCUACAGGGCCAAAGAGUAGUUUGGGCUAGACAUAUGGAAUUGUAGUGACAAAUGCAGAAAUGAAUAGGAUCUGCCAAAGAGAACAUAGAGACUGAAAAGAGAGAGGACUUGUAAUGUUCAGGGAAGUGAUAUAGCUCAGGCUCUAAGAGUCCAAGUGUUAGAACUUCUCACUUCUACUUGGGUCUAAAUCUCUACUCAGCCCCUCAGUAUUCCAGUAAAAUACAACUAUGAGAUAGUUAUGUAAGAUUCACAUUGAAUAUAAGAACAAAGAAUGGGUGAACCUAAGAGAAUGCUAAAAGGUAUAUUUUGCAAAUUGUAUCUAUAAGAAUGCUGAUACUGAUUUUUAAAUAUCAAACAAGAUUGAAUUCAAAGCAAUUGACAAUUAUAUAGAUUAAAAAGAGACAUUUAAUAAAGAGAAAGAUCAAUCCACUAGAUGGUAUUCUAAUUAUUUAUAUGUGCCUAAAGACAUAAAGGAAAAAAAUCAGAAUAACAGAACAAGUAUAAAAUGCAUAAUUAUAGUGAGAAGGAAUAAUACAAAGCAUUUUUUUGGUAAAUAAUAGUAUUAUCAAAAAAUAUCAGUAAAGACCUCAAAGAUUUUACAAAAUUCUUAACAUAUAUGACCUUAUCAUAUAUAUAGAACA